AUUGAACGCUGGCGGCAGGCUUAACACAUGCAAGUCGAACGAGCGGCGGACGGGUGAGUCAUGCUUGGGAAUCUGCCUGAUGGAGGGGGAUAACUACUGGAAACUGUAGCUAAUACCGCAUACCAUCAGAUGAACCCAUAUGGGAUUAGGUAGUGGGUAUGGUAAUGGCGUACCAAGGCGACGAUCCCUAGCGGGUCUGAGAGGAUGAUCAUCCACACUGGGAGUGAGAUAAGGCCCAGUCUCCUACGGGAGGCAGCAGUGGGGAAUAUUGCGCAAUGGGCGCAAGCCUGAUGCAGCCAUGCCGCGUGUAUGAAGAAGGCCUUCGGGUUGUAAAGUACUUUCAGUCGGGAGGCGUUAACGACAGAAGAAGCACCGGCUAACUCCGUGCCAGCAGCCGCGGUAAUUG
rnacentral:rRNA from 1 species